UACGGAGGGAGCUAGAGUUGUUCGGAAUUACUGGGCGUAAAGCGCACGUAGGCGGCCGUUCAAGUCAGAGGUGAAAGCCCGGGGCUCAAGCCCGGAAUAGCCCUUGAAACUAGAUGGCUUGAAUCUUGGAGAGGUCAGUGGAAUUCCGAGUGUAGAGGUGAAAUUCGUAGAUAUUCGGAAGAACACCAGUGGCGAAGGCGACUGACUGGACAAGGAUUGACGCUGAGGUGCGAAAGCGUGGGGAGCAAACAGG
rnacentral:rRNA from 1 species